rnacentral:RNase_P_RNA from 1 species
CGAGUCAACCAAGUAGUCGCUGUAUUGUUAUUUUUUAACAUAUAGAGGAAAGUCCGGACACAACAGAGCAUGGUGCCGGUUAACGACCGGGAGGUGCAAGCCUACGGCAAGUGCAACAGAAAAUAAACCGCCUGACCACUCACUUGAUAUUUUUAAGAUUAAAAAUAUCAAGUGAGUGGUCAGGUAAGGGUGAAAUGGUGCGGUAAGAGCGCACCGCAUUUAUGGUAACAUAAAUGGUCAAGGUAAACCCCACCAAGUGCAAGACCAAAUAGGAAGAUAAUGUGUUGCUCGCACAGUCUUCGGGUAGGUUGCAAAGAAAUAUUUGGCAACAAAUAUUCAAGAUGAAUGACUACUCUCGACAGAAUCCGGCUUAUUGUUGGCUCACUCU